rnacentral:rRNA from 1 species
AUUGAACGCUGGCGGCAGGCCUAACACAUGCAAGUCGAACGGUAACAGGAAACAGCUUGCUGUUUCGCUGACGAGUGGCGGACGGGUGAGUAAUGUCUGGGAAACUGCCUGAUGGAGGGGGAUAACUACUGGGAACGGUAGCUAAUACCGCAUAACGUCGCAAGACCAAAGAGGGGGACCUUCGGGCCUCUUGCCAUCAGAUGCGCCCAGAUGGGAUUAGCUAGUAGGUGGGGUAACGGCUCACCUAGGCGACGAUCCCUAGCUGGUCUGAGAGGAUGACCAGCCACACUGGAACUGAGACACGGUCCGG